UACGUAGGCAGCGAGCGUUGUUCGGAGUUACUGGGCGUAAAGCGUGCGUAGGCGGUUGUCUAAGUUUGGUGUGAAAUCUCCUGCUUAACUGGGAGGGUGCGCCGAAAACUGGGUGACUGGAGUGUCGGAGAGGUAAGCGGAAUUCCUGGUGUAGCGGUGAAAUGCGUAGAGAUCAGGAGGAACACCUGUGGUGUAGACAGCUUACUGGACGAUAACUGACGCUGAGGAGCGAAAGCGUGGGGAGCGAACAGG
rnacentral:rRNA from 1 species